AUUUCUGUAUGUGAUGACAACAUCUGACAUACACACAUGAAAACCAGAGGGCAGCAGAUCAUGUGAAAAUAUAAUAUUUGUGUCAUUCUCAAUACUUUGACCAUGACUGUACAUAAAGGAGGAACAGGAGGGAGUCUGCAUUAGUCUGGGUGGAGAGCAGCUCUGAGAGAACGAGGAGAGUCAUGCCUUCAAGUUUUCAGUCACUGCUACUGCCAUAAAGAAAACACAGAUUCCGAAAUGGGGCCAACCUCGCUGGAGAAUAAGGAAUGUUUGACUGAGAAGAAAAAUAUGUGCUCACGAAGGAAAGUCCAGACAGAAUUGAAGCUUAACUGUGAAGACAUUGAUAAAACAUUCACCGGAAAAGAAGCUUUAACAAGGCAUGAGAAGAUCCACACAGGACAGAAAGAUCUUUGUUGUGACCUUUACAGAGUCAGAUUCAGCUGCAAAUCAUAUUUAAACGCACAUGUGAGGAUCCACACAGGACAGAAACCUUUCUGUUGUGAACCUUGUGGACACAGAUGCAAGCAGAAGUCACAUUUAAACACACACGAGAAACCACACCGGAGAGAAACCUUUCUGCUGUGAUAUCUGUGGUAAUAGAUUUGUCGAAAAAUCCUGUUUAAACAGACACAUGAGAAUUCACACAGGAGAGAAACCUUUCUGUUGUGUUGUCUGUGGACAAAGAUUUGGCCGAAAAUCACAUGUAAGCACACACAUGAGAAUUCACACAGGAGAGAAGCCUUUCUGUUGUGAACUUUGCGGACAUGGGUUCAGCGGAAAAUCACACUUAAACACACAAGAGAAUUCAUACAAGAGAGAAGCCUUUCUGUUGUGAUCUCUAUGGACACACAUUUACUGAAAAAUCUAGUUUAACCAAACACA